AUUGUAGGCUGAAACUCGCCUACAUGAAGCUGGAGUUACUAGUAAUCGCAGAUCAGAAUGCUGCGGUGAAUGCGUUCCCGGGUCUUGUACACACCGCCCGUCACACCACGGAAGUUGGGGGCGCCCGAAGCCACUUAGCUAACCCUUUUGGAAAGCGAGUGUCGAAGGUGAAAUCAAUAACUGGGGUGAAGUCGUAACAAGGUAUC
rnacentral:rRNA from 1 species